rnacentral:lncRNA from 1 species
UCAACCACACAUUAAUUAAUAAGAAACUCCUUGAUUGGUUGCCAAUUAGGAGGAAUAGAGUCUACAAAAGAAAUUUCAGAAAAUAAAAGUCUAGAAGAACUGGAUAAGCAGUCCGCUUUUACAUUACAUAAACAAGAAAUAAGUGCAAGCGAGAAGAAGGCGAAAUAGACACGGAGUAACCCAAACUCGUCUAGCAGAUUGGAGAAAGCAAGCCAUUCUUAAGGUGACUGUAUCAUUGAGACUAACUCCGAGCAAUCUGUUUCAAACAUCUGACAAUCGACCCUUCUUGCA